rnacentral:rRNA from 1 species
GACGAACGCUGGCGGCGUGCUUAACACAUGCAAGUCGAACGGAAAGGCCCUGCUUGGGUUGGGUGCUCGAGUGGCGAACGGGUGAGUAACACGUGAGUAACCUGCCCUUUACUUUGGGAUAACUUCAGGUAACUGGGGCUAAUACCGGAUAGGAGCUCCUGCUGCAGGGUGGGGGUUGGAAAGUUUGGGGGGGUGGGGAUGGACUCGCGGCUUAUCAGCUUGUUGGGGGGGUAGGGGCUUACCAAGGCUUUGCGGGGUAGCCGGCCUGGGGGGGUGACCGGCCAAAUUGGGACUGGGAUACGGCCAAGACUCCUCCGGGAGGAAGAAGGGGGGAAAAUUGCAAAAGGGGGGGAAGCCUGAUGAAGAAACGCCGCGUGGGGGAGGCGGGCCUUCGGGUGGUAAACCGCUUCAGCAUGUGACGAGGUGUGAGUGACGGUAAUGGGUAAAGAAGCACCGGCUAACUACGUG